CCAGUAUUAACUAGUUGACCCAAAAAGACAUGCAAGCAGACUGAAUAGGAAGGAGAAUGAAAGAAUGAUCUCUCCUUCAACUCUGAUGUGGCGUGGCAGAGAAUGCUCAAACCAAAAUGGUAGAUAGAGAAUUUAUAUUCAAGCUAAGGGAGAAGACAGUAAGAGAGCAUUUCUCUGUCUUUUGGUGAAUUCAAAUGACUUGGCCCAGAUGAACUACAUACUCAUGUUCUGAAAAUAUUGAAGGAAAUGGCAGAUGGGAUUGCUGAGUCACUCUCAUUUGAAAGAUCAUGGAAAAUAGGAGGGGAAAACACAACAUAGGAGAAACGCAAAUGUUGCCCCAAUUUUCACAAAGUGAAGAGGAUAGCCUUCAGACUAGGAAAGAGUGUCCUUGGCAGUAGCUGCAGAAGGUUCUCCUCUGAAGAUGGGCUACAUGGAACUUGAAGGGAGGAAGCUCCUUUUCUCGACCGUGCUGAGGAAGAAGAGAGUAGAAGACUAUUUAAUGGAGCAGGAGCUGAGAAUGUUUUUUCUCCCCUACCCAGAAAGCUACCCUUGAAACAAAGAUUUUAAAAGCAUUCAGCAAAAUAAAAAAGGGUAUCAGUUGUCUGAUGUGUAGUAU
rnacentral:lncRNA from 1 species